ensembl:lncRNA
GCUGCUAAAGCAAAAAUUAAAGUAUGCUAACCUUUGUGUUUCUUUUUUUAUUUCAGUAGUUGUUGAGAAGCUAAAAUAAAUCUAGAUUAUGGCUUUUUAAAUGGAUGGAGCUGGAAACCCACUUAACAGACAAGAAGCAUCUACAUAUACUACUGAAUGUUUAAAGGAUACACAAACAAAAACUUGUGUAGAGUCUAAAGGAUUGUUUCUCUACUACACCUCCUCUACCUUACGGCUGUCACAAGAGCCACCCUAGAGGUACCUCGGGUUAAUAUUCUGCCCCAGAGCUACAACUUCUUACUUUGCCCACCUCUGCCCUUAAGCUACCGCUCUAGAAAGCCUGCAGCUACUACACUUACUUGACAUCAUUUUGUAAGUAUACCGUUCUCUCUGGCAUCUCCAGAGGAGGAGACAGCUCAUCAGUCACAGGAACACCACAAAACUUGUAGGGAGAUAGCAAGCUGACUGGGAGACAGUAACUCUUUGUUUCCACCACCACCACCCCAGGGAGCUACAGCCGGGGAAAAUAUAUGUUGGGAAUGUGAAAGGUGCCCCUGGUCAGUUGUCCAGCUUGCCAACAUGUGUACACUCCCUGCCUAGCCCAAAUCACAGUGCUGCGUGUUUGACACCCACCCACUGUGGAACGUAGAUGGGCACCUCUAACAAUCCUGGUUCUGCAAACAAAGACCAGCAGAUUUUUUAAAAAGAAAAGGAAGUAAUAAUGAGGGGUGGGGGUGGGUGAGGACAAUGUCUUGUACUCCUAUGAUCUAUCCAGUCAAAGCCCACAUGAGAGAGUCAUGCAUCCAUUCCACAUUCUCUGACACAGACACACAGACAGUUCUUACUGUAAUGAAAACUCAGUGGAGCUACCUAAAAGAAAAGCAAGACAAUUCUAGAAUGCAAUCGUCUAACCAGCGAUGUAUCACCUUCUCUUUGCCAUAGCUGCUCGGUUGGGUGGCAAUGGGAAUUUCCAGGAGAGGUUUGGGUUUUCAUGGGGACUUUGGCUGCCAAUUCCCUGGCUUUGGUGCUUCCUUCUUUUGCUACAGCAUCCAGCACCAAGUAUCUUUAUUCAAACUGCAACUCUUUAAACCCCAGGAAUGCCAGUUUCAGCGAUUUCGUUGACCCAAACAUGGCUGGAUCUUUUGUGAAUUGCUUGGUAUCUGUGAAGCUCAGAAGCACACCUAGUGGAAAGGAGAUGGUCCUGUUUGCCCUGCGUAGGAGGCAGAGGGACCCUGCUAAAUUAUCCGUGGUGUUCCCUUACGACACUACACUGUCCUUGGACCCCAGCACUCAGCAUGAAACUGCUGGACACUGGGAUCUUUUUGUAACAAGAAGUAGAUUUCAGGUUGGUACUAAAAGGCAGCCACUCACUUUCGGAAGAAUGCACAACAUGGCUUUGAUCACAGGUCUCCCACAGGUAAAAGAUGGUCAUUCACCUGUAACGGGCAGCCAAAACAUCACCUGUCCAUCACAGCUGGGCAGUGAGUCAUCAGCCAAUGGUGUGACGGAGGAUGGAACUUAAGGGGAGGAGCCGGUAUAAAAAGGGGGGUGAAGAGUGUGUGAGGGGAGAUAGAGAUUGGAGAUGAGAGGUUGAGCUGAGGGUUUAAAGUGAUUGUUAGUUAUAGUGAGUGAAAGAGCCUGUCAGUGUGAAAUAGUCUGUGUGAGCCAGUGAUUUAUUUACAGUGAUUGACUUAUUGAUUCUUUACCAGUGAUUUACUAUUUUUAUUUCCUGUAAUCAAUAAACCAGUUUUUG